AUGUGGGAAUGGAAAAUGAGUAUGAUUGCUGAAAAUGGACCGUCAUAUAUACCUGUACAAGGUUGGGGAGGCACGGUCAGCGUUGGUGUUUUGGUGCAAGUCGCCGGGGCCCGGAGAGAGGAGAGGUCGUCACGUCGAGCUCAUGGGGAUAGGGCAGCCACCACUGUCGCCUCCCGCGACAGAGCAAAGCUUGAAGAUCAUGGCUAUUAUUGUGAAGUUCUCCAGGUGAUGAGCUUACUCGAGUGCUUUCCCCUGGAGACUUUGCAUUUCCAGGACUACUUCAAUGCACUUCAUUUAAGGACGAUGCAAGCCAUUUACCAGAAAGCAGAAGCAGAUUUUGGUAGGUAA
rnacentral:rRNA from 1 species